CGACACCGUGUGUUGUUGGGUAGGGGAGCGUUCUGUAAGCCUGUGAAGGUGUGCUGUGAGGCAUGCUGGAGGUAUCAGAAGUGCGAAUGCUGACAUAAGUAACGAUAAAGCGGGUGAAAAGCCCGCUCGCCGGAAGACCAAGGGUUCCUGUCCAACGUUAAUCGGGGCAGGGUGAGUCGACCCCUAAGGCGAGGCCGAAAGGCGUAGUCGAUGGGAAACGGGUUAAUAUUCCCGUACUUGGUGUUACUGCGAAGGGGGGACGGAGAAGGCUAUGUUGGCCGGGCGACGGUUGUCCCGGUUUAAGCGUGUAGGUAUGUGUUCCAGGUAAAUCCGGUUCACUUUAACACUGAGGCGUGACGACGAGGCACUACGGUGCUGAAGCAACAAAUGCCCUGCUUCCAGGAAAAGCCUCUAAGCAUCAGGUAACAUCAAAUCGUACCCCAAACCGACACAGGUGGUCAGGUAGAGAAUACCAAGGCGCUUGAGAGAACUCGGGUGAAGGAACUAGGCAAAAUGGUGCCGUAACUUCGGGAGAAGGCACGCUGACACGUAGGUGAAGUGAUUUACUCACGGAGCUGAAGUCAGCCGAAGAUACCAGCUGGCUGCAACUGUUUAUUAAAAACACAGCACUGUGCAAACACGAAAGUGGACGUAUACGGUGUGACGCCUGCCCGGUGCCGGAAGGUUAAUUGAUGGGGUCAGCGCAAGCGAAGCUCCUGAUCGAAGCCCCGGUAAACGGCGGCCGUAACUAUAACGGUCCUAAGGUAGCGAAAUUCCUUGUCGGGUAAGUUCCGACCUGCACGAAUGGCGUAAUGAUGGCCAGGCUGUCUCCACCCGAGACUCAGUGAAAUUGAACUCGCUGUGAAGAUGCAGUGUACCCGCGGCAAGACGGAAAGACCCCGUGAACCUUUACUAUAGCUUGACACUGAACAUUGAGCCUUGAUGUGUAGGAUAGGUGGGAGGCUU
rnacentral:rRNA from 1 species